CGCGGGUAUGUGUAUGUUGUGUGAUUUCAUAGAAGGAAUUUAAGAAUUUCUCAAAGAAUUUGAUUUUCUUGCCGAGAAAAAAGAUUAAUUUGAUUUAAAAGAUUCCGCAUUUCAAUCGCAUCGUUUGGCCAGAGUGCAUUGCACUAAGGAUCCAUUGCUGGGGAGAAUCGCGUGUGUUUAAUCCCCGAACUUACGGUCAAUGUACUUUUACAACCUCUCCAACAACUGUGAUUAACGGAGGCGCCCACUUCCAAUUACGGGGACCAAGGGAAUAUGUGCAAAAUCAACCAAUAUUAGAAGAAGUGUUUUUGAAGAAGGUUAUUCUAAAUCGGCAUUAUUCGGGAAUAAUUUUUUGCAAAAAAAAAAAAAAAAAUCAAACGACAUUUUAAACAAUAGAUUGUAUGUUGUAAAUUGAUUCAAUUGCAAAUACCAGCAAAAAAGGAAAUAAAUGAAAAAAGGAUACACGAGACCACUGCAGUUUGGAUUCUGCGCAUUGCUGCACAUUAUUUAUGCUUCAGGAUAACAAUUGUCAAAUAUACCGGCACUAGAACGAAUUGAGCGUCACUGACCAGUACACAUCUGAGGUGAGGGACCCAACUGAAACAUCGAAUUUGCAGCUAGCAUGUGUUGUUCAACAAACGCAUGAAUGGAACUAAUAUUUGGUGCAGCCAUUCGUUUACACAUACGUUAUUGGCUUAGAUAGCACUUGACAUUUUGCCAGCAAAGGGGAGCCCAUCAGCAAUGUGGACAGCUCAUGCGACUAUUGAAUCGACGACCAUAAUCGAUAGUCGUGGUAGUCAGCAAGAAACAUUGGCUGAAACCAAUGAACCUGCCAUUUCAACGAUUGCUGGUUCAUUGGUUUCGAUUGGUUCAAUAUCGCAAACCCAGCCACGAUAUGGUACAAAUGACGCUGGGUACGACACAGAGCAUACAUCAUUGAACUCCGAUUUCGAUGAAGCUGAAUUACGAAGGGAGCUGCUUCGAGAC
rnacentral:sRNA from 1 species